GACGAACGCUGGCGGCGUGCUUAACACAUGCAAGUCGAACGGAAAGGCACUGCUUUUGUGGGGUGCUCGAGUGGCGAAGGGGUGAGUAACCCGUGAGUAACCUGCCCUUGUCUUUGGGAUAACUCAAGGGAACUGGGGGUAAUACCGGAUAGGAGCUACUGCUGCAUGGGGGGGGUCGGAAAGUUUCGGCGGUUGGGGAUGGACUCGCGGCUUAUCAGCUUGUUGGGGGGGUAGUGGCUUACCAAGGUUUUGUCGGGUAGCCGGCCUGAGUGGGUGACCGGCCACAUUGGGACUGAGAUACGGCCCAGACUCCUACGGGAGGCAGCAGUGGAGAAUAUUGCACAAUGGGCGGAAGCCGGAUGCAGCAGCGCCGCGAGCGGGAUGACGGCCUUCGGGUUGUAAACCGCUUGCGCCUGUGACGAAGCGUGAGUGACGGUAAUGGGUAAAGAAGCACCGGCUAACUACGUG
rnacentral:rRNA from 1 species